rnacentral:rRNA from 1 species
GACGAACGCUGGCGGCGUGCUUAACACAUGCAAGUCGAACGGAAAGGCCCUGCUUUUGUGGGGUGCUCGAGAGGCGAACGGGUGUGUAACACGUGAGUAACCUGCCCUUGACUGUGGGAUAACUUCAGGGAACUGGGGCUAAUAUCGGAGAGGAGCUCCUGCUGCAUGGUGGGGGUUGGAAAGUUUCGGCUGUGGUGGAUGGACUCGCGGCUUAUCGGCUUGUUGGUGGGGUAGUGGCUUACCAAGGCUUUGACGGGUAGCCGGCCUGAGAGGGUGGCCGGCCACAUUAGGACUGAGGUACGGACCAGACUGCAACCGGAGGCAGCGGUGGAGAGUCUUGCACAGUGGGCGGACGCCUGAGGUGACGACGCCGCGUGCGGGAUACCGUCCUUCGAGUUGUGAACCACUUUCGACUGUGACAAGGAGUGAGUGACGGUAAUGGGUAAAGAAGCACCGGCUAACUACGUG